AAUGUCCGCUCCGCCCACCGUCCCCAUCCCCGGAGCGGUUCACGGAUGCGGCCUUGAGAGAGCAACGUGUUGUCGAGACCGUCUGCCUGGUUACCUCUUCAGGCAUUUUCAGUCAGCCUGGUCCAAGACUCCAUGCAGGAAUUGACAAAGCAGCCUAGAUAGCCCAGCUUCCUUGGCUGAAAGACUUAUAAUCAGAAUCCACCAUCCCCCAUGGAGGCAGACCACCAAGAACAGCCACCUGCAAAUUCUGUGAUGUCUUCCUCCUCCUUCUUGCAAGCAAUGGAAGGCUGAUGGGAAAACACAAACCAGCAAGGCCACGGGAUCUCCCUCCCUACAAGGAGCUGCAUUCCUUGCAACCUUUAAAACCUCUGGCCUCCCAUCUUUUGGGGAGAUGAGAAGAGACGAGCUGAAUUUGAGGGCUCACUCUCAUCUCUGGGCUGAUGUCACCUGAAAUAAAAACCCUUUC